GAUAAAAGGGAUAGGUAGACGGGAGGAGAAUGGUACCACUGGUAUGUAACGUCGAUCACGCGAGAGUUACUACUGCAACAUGCUGCAUUCCACUGAUGCUUUACUCGUCUGCUCGAGCACGUUUAUGAAUUAAUUAGAUAAUAACUAGCGACAAUUAACGUUGAAGGCACGAUACAUGAAAACACCAUCUGCUUUUGAUCUCCGCACAAAAAUUAACUGACAGGAACAAUCAGAUAAUAUUGUUUUAUGAAAAAAAAUCAAUACGUUUAAAUAAGAAUUUUUUUGUCUCAAUUUGAAUUUGAUUAAUUGAAUUCGAAAGUUAUAGGUAGGUAUCAAACUUUCUUUUUUGUAUUUUCGAUAGUAUUUUCAUGAAAAUGAUAUAGAUAUAUACGUACAGGCGUAAACAAAAUUCAUAAUUUAUAGUAAUCAUAAGAACAUCUGGUUCUCGUCUUCUUAGAAAUAUCAGCGGCAACAGUGCUUUAAAAAUGACUCAGAAACCAUAAACAAGAACUACAUCAUGAUAUUUUCUUGAUUUGUAACAGAUCAUUGUUUACGACGAUGUUAGUCUCUUCUUCAUUGUCCCAGUUUGCUUAGGACCGCGAGAUAUCAGGAGUUGUGAUAAAAGCAUGAAUAUAAUCAGGAAAGGAAGAGCAACAUUCUCCCUACUUCGAUGAAUCACAUUGUGUAUUCCUACUUACAAUUUAAUAUUUAUCGGUCGAAUAGUCGAAGGAUAAGGGAAAUACUCGACAUCGAUACAGAAUGAUAACGAAUUCAACAAACACUUAAAAGAUAAGAUGUUCUCGCGUAAUACAUCUUAAUCCAUGGCUCGACAUCAAUCCAUAAACUGGCACGUGAUAUAGUCUACGAGGCGACAUCACGCGAUAUUGGUGUUCUAUUUAAAUAAAGAUGAAUACACCCUCACAGUAAAUGAAAAAACGAAUAAGGAGGGAAAAAGAGAUGGCCGUACUUGUGCCACCUGAGUGGACAGUGUCCAGCUGUGAAACGAGAAAGAAGCGAUAUGAAAAUGCGCGCUGCUCAACCACCGGCUGACUUAUCGCAUCGCAGUCGGUUGAGUCCAUCCAAUUCCCCACUCUAUGAAAUCCAUCUCACUUCAUUUCCCUUGCCAACUCUUCUUCAUGUAUUCCAUCGUUUCGAUUUGCUCAUGUUUCUCUCUUUGUUUUACGAUUUCUCUUUCUAUAUUCUUAUCCUUUUCUUCUUCUCUUUGUUACACACAAAAUCAACCGUCUUCCUUCUGCUACAGAUUUCUACGCAGACAUCAUUCACGCAAUGCAAUAUCGUGCGCGCGGAAAUAAAAUGCGCGGCUACUGAUCUAUCGAUAAGUACAAAGUUCUAACUGUGUAUACACCCAGAUAUUUCAAAUAUGCACAAGAUAUCACUGUUGGAUGAAGAUCUUUCAAACAUUGGACGUGACACAAGCAAGAUGAUACCAACAAAUAUAUGCAAUUUAAUAAAUAAGAGAAUAAUCAAGGAAGAAAAAAAAGUUUCAUCAUGAAGGGAAUUCUAACGCAGAUACGCGAAUACAUUUCUGUUUUAUGACGAAAAUAGAGUAACAAAUCAUAGUGUUUGAUUUACCUAUUUCACAUUUAACCAUUUCAAAUAUUACAAUUCAAUAAAAUUUUUCUUAUGAUGAUUUUUCCAUUAUUACACAUUACUAUGAAAAUAUAAACUGAAAUAUUAUGGAAGAAAAAUUAUAAAAAUUAAAAAUAAAAUUA